rnacentral:piRNA from 1 species
UAAUCAGUGGUUGGUGGUGAUAGAUA